rnacentral:rRNA from 1 species
AACGAACGCUGGCGGCAUGCCUAACACAUGCAAGUCGAACGAGACCUUCGGGUCUAGUGGCGCACGGGUGCGUAACGCGUGGGAACCUGCCCUUAGGUUCGGAAUAACUCCCCGAAAGGGGUGCUAAUACCGGAUAAUGUCUUCGGACCAAAGAUUUAUCGCCUUUGGAUGGGCCCGCGUUGGAUUAGCUAGUUGGUAGGGUAAAAGCCUACCAAGGCGACGAUCCAUAGCUGGUCUGAGAGGAUGAUCAGCCACACUGGGACUGAGACACGGCCCAGACUCCUACGGGAGGCAGCAGUGGGGAAUAUUGGACAAUGGGCGAAAGCCUGAUCCAGCAAUGCCGCGUGAGUGAUGAAGGCCUUAGGGUUGUAAAGCUCUUUUAACCGGGAUGAUAAUGACAGUACCGGGAGAAUAAGCCCCGGCUAACUACGUG